rnacentral:misc_RNA from 1 species
UAGAGGCAGGGUAUUUGGAAGUUUCACUGCCAUAUAAUAUUUGUGCACAAGAAGUAUCUGAUUCUAAAUUCAUCUCCAUUUCAAAUCCAGAUCGAUAACUAUCAGAAUUAAGAUCCUCAUUCCCACUGCAAUAUAGAUCUUCAGGUAUUAGAGCUGCCAUCACUCUUUGGUACAAGGAAAUAUCCUUAUGUUUGCUCUUUCCAGAGACCACAUGGUCCACGGUACUUUCAAGACUCCGCGUUUCAUUUGUAUCUCCUCCAAACUCGGUCAACCCAAAACCAUUUGGGACUAAACUCGAACCAUCAGUAUCAAAAGGGUCAGAUACUGGCCCUGAAAGGUUGAUCUCAUGAUUUACCUGCUGCCUUAAAAAGGUUGUAUCUAUUUCUGACAUGAAUCGAAAAAGUGGCUCCAUCUGCUUCCAGAAUGAGCUAGAGAGGGCUUGAGCAGUGUUGGUAACAGCACUUGCAGCAGCCAGAAGUUCUUCAUGCCCAUCAUCUAGAAAAUCAGUAGUGGCAUUCAUUGUCGCUUGUUUCUGUCGUUUGUAAGCUUUACGAUCAGCAAGCUUUCUUGUAGGAGGUCGGCCUGCUUUGCUUUCAGUCUUGUCAAGACCGUGUCUAGAGCUUCUCAGUUGUUUUGCUGUUCCAACAUUUCCAAGCUUCUCAACCAUCAAUGUCAUCGGAUUCCUAGUGGCGGUAAAACCCCUUCCAGUCCUACCUUGCCUACGAAUACCAUCUCCAUGAUCUUCCCCACUAGCCCUCUUACUUUUCCUUGGUGGGAGCAGCAAAGACAUCUUCUGAACAUGGGGCCCAGAUUUUUCAUCUACCUCGUCAGACCUGUUGCUCUUGUCCUUGGACUUGAUUUCCGCAGCCCCAGACUCCUCACUUUCAGAAGCAGCUGAAGAGAAAUGAUCGCUUUUUAAUUUGACUUGUUGAGGGGAAGAACCACAAAGACGCCUUUCAUUACUGAGAGCAUCACUUGUACUAUCAAGAGAAGGGUUUUCAUCAUUAUUGGGAACAAUAGGAAAAUUAGCCCUUCUUGCGGGUCGAGAGAUCUUCUGGGGCCUUUGGCUGGCCCACUGAGCAACAGGCGGUGAUGACGACCUCAUAGAAGAGGUUCGUUUACG